CCUACGGGAGGCAGCAGUGGGGAAUAUUUCACAAUGGGGGAAACCCUGAUGCAGCGACGCCGCGUGAGUGAAGAAGUAAUUCGUUAUGUAAAGCUCUAUCAGCAGGGAAGAAACUGACGGUACCUGAGUAAUAAGCCCCGGCUAACUACGUGCCAGCAGCCGCGGUAAUACGUAGGGGGCAAGCGUUAUCCGGAUUUACUGGGUGUAAAGGGUGCGUAGACGGCAGUGCAAGUCUGGAGUGAAAGGCGGGGGCUCAACCCCCGGACUGCUCUGGAAACUGUACGGCUGGAGUGCAGGAGAGGUAAGUGGAAUUCCUAGUGUAGCGGUGAAAUGCGUAGAUAUUAGGAGGAACACCAGUGGCGAAGGCGGCUUACGGGACUGUAACUGACGUUGAGGCUCGAAAGCGUGGGGAGCAAACAGGAUUAGAUACCCGAGUAGUC
rnacentral:rRNA from 1 species